UGCUACGUUAAUUAUCCCAACCUGCCGCGUAAAUUCCAACCUGCUACGAAAAGUCAAUUCUGGUCAGUUUUGACUGUAUCUACAUUGUCAAAACCAGGAAACAGUGACACCCUGCUCAUGCGCUGUAGACCUUUUAAAAUUUUCACCCGAUUAGACGACAAUCACCACAUUAAAAGGUGUGAUUGGUAAAAUGAUUUCCUUUUAAUGGGGUGAUUGUCUAAUCGGGUGGAAUCUUGGACCCUUGACCUUUACCAGACCGUUGUGUGGCGGCCCAGGCAUAUUUUUGUUAUUUUGGUUGUAGUGAGCACAGUCAAACAGUUGUAGAGAACGCCAGCUACCUUGGUAAAAUGAAUUCAACUUUGAAUAUCAAGAUGAUGUCCUCGAAAGGGUCGUGUUGCUGUGUUUACGGGUGUUCGUUGAGACCUGCAACAAACUAUAAACAAUUCAAGUUUUUAGAUUCCCGAAAGAAAGUGGACCACUGCUAUGAAUAAAGAUGUUUGGCUACCAACAGUAAAUUCGAAGAAUUUCCGUGCACGCUUAAUUGCAGAUUGGGAGAUGUUAAGGGACAAAGACAAACAUCUAUUGUAAUAAAUGGACAAAGUAAACCAUCCAAGGAUGCCGUGCACCGACAUUUUGUUCCUUAACUCCCUGACAGAGAUGGGGACCACGGUAUGGAGAGGUACACCAGGGAAGUGAUGUCAUGGUGAAGUGCAAAGCAGCCUUGCUUGGUUGUACAGUGGCAAUGUUAUGGUGUUGGAGACCCCUUAAAUCUAAAACGUUGUUUUAGAGAAUUUUGCAGUAUGUCCAACCGGCCUCACAACCUCGUCGUGUGGGCGAGCAGUUUGCUGAUGUCAAUGUUGUGAACAGUGUCUUAUGGUGUCGGUGGGGUUAUGAUAUUGGCAUGCUACGGAUAAUGAACACAAUUGCAUUUUAUCGAUGGCAAUUUCAAUGCACAAAAAUACAGUGACGAGUUCCAUUGUGAGGCCCAUUUUUUUUUAAAUUUUUUAAAUUUAUUUUUAUAAAUGUAUCUGUUACCAACCGAUGCA